rnacentral:rRNA from 1 species
CCUACGGGGGGCAGCAGUGAGGAAUAUUGGUCAAUGGGCGCGAGCCUGAACCAGCCAAGUAGCGUGAAGGAUGACUGCCCUACGGGUUGUAAACUUCUUUUAUAAGGGAAUAAAGUGAGGCACGUGUGCCUCUUUGUAUGUACUUUAUGAAUAAGGAUCGGCUUAAUCCGUGCGCGCAGCCGCGGUAAUACGGAGGAUCCGAGCGUUAUCCGGAUUUAUUGGGUUUAAAGGGAGCGUAGAUGGGUUGUUAAGUGGGUUGUGAAAGUUUGCGGCGCAACCGUGAAAUUGCAAUUGAUACUGGCAGUCUUGAGUACAGUUGAGGUUGGCGGAAUUCGUGGUGUAGCGGUGAAAUGCUUAGAUAUCACGAAGAACUCCGAUUGCGAAGGCAGCUUACUGAACUGCAACUGACGUUGAUGCUCGAAAGUGUGGGUAUCAAACAGGAUUAGAUACCCUAGUAGUC